UUUUACCAGACCCGGGAAGGGCGCGGGGCCUUAGUGGCGGACGGGUGAGUAACGCGUGGGGAACCUGCCCCGUACCGGGGGAUAACACCUGGAAACAGGUGCUAAUACCGCAUAACAGAAGGGGACGCAUGUUUCUUUCUUGAAAACUCCGGUGGUACGGGAUGGACCCGCGUCUGAUUAGCUGGUUGGCGGGGUAACGGCCCACCAAGGCGACGAUCAGUAGCCGGCCUGAGAGGUUGGCCGGCCACAUUGGGACUGAGAUACGGCCCAGACUCCUACGGAAGGCAGCAG
rnacentral:rRNA from 1 species